rnacentral:rRNA from 1 species
GACGAAGGGGGCUAGCGUUGUUCGGAAUUACUGGGCGUAAAGCGCGUGUAGGCGGUUGUCCAAGUUGGAUGUGAAUGCCUUGAGCUCAACUCAAGAAAUGCAUUCAGGACUGGAUGACUAGAGGACCGGAGAGGAUAGUGGAAUUCCCAGUGUAGUGGUGAAAUACGUAGAGAUUGGGAAGAACACCAGUGGCGAAGGCGGCUAUCUGGACGGUUUCUGACGCUAAGACGCGAAAGCGUGGGGAGCAAACAGG